AUAGCAGGGGCUUCAUCCAUAUUGAUUGCAGGACCAAGUUGCAAGCUGCAGUAGUUGAGGAAAGGUUCUAAUUUGUGGCUCAGGAAGUAGUGUCCCACUCACUUAGCUCCUUAGAGGGCACCCAGCCCACAAUCCACAGAACUCAGUGCCACCUCCUUAGGUGGCUGCUGCUGUUUGGUUUCUAGCCUUAGCCAGCUGAAGGCAGAAGUCUCUGCCAUCUCACUGCUGCUUUUCUGCCAGGGACAAAGCUUUGGAAGUGGCCAGAACCAAAUUGUUUUAGAAGGACUCCUGUUACAGCACUCAGUAUAUACCUGUUUUUAUGUUCUCCUUCAAUAAGAUCUUUUUGUCUUAGAAAACAAGUGACAUUUAUAGUCCAAAGAGAAAUAAUCACACUUGAAUGGUGGUGUUCCCACUGGCCCUCUGUUGUCAUUAAAGUGUAGACCAGGACUCCAGUGAUUGGUUUGAGGUUUCUUUUCUUUGGAUGUCAGGGGCAAUGUUGGGCCAGCUCUCCUGUGCAGAUGCCUCCAUUCUAGACAUGUGCUCUGCCAUCUGGAAGCACAAAGCAUGGCUGUAGCAGUCUUUGGUCUGAAGUUUGCCACCACCCCUUUUAUUUUUUUUCCCUCAGCUCAGGUACAGACAGCCAUCCCCACUCCCACCCCCAUCUUCCUUGUCCUCUUCUUCCCCUAUGAGUUUCCAUUCGAGGCAAAGAGCUUUCUGUCUUUGAUUCCCUCUGAAGUCAGGCAAUAAUCUAAUGUUCCCAGGUGAUUCCCUGAGAUGGGGAAUGGUGAAAAUUAGUGAAUUUUUCCCUAAAAAUAUUCUUGUAACUCAGCAAGAAUAGGUGAAAUUGAACAACAGCUAAGAUACUUCCAGAUUUGACCCUUCAUGGGCAAAGUGGGUUCUUGUUCUAUCCAAGGUGAACAAAGAAUUUAUACACAUACAUGCAACUUCUAACAUUCCAGAGGGUACAAAUAUCUGAUAAAGGUGGACUUUCUUUGUGUGAUUCUUCUCAAAACCUUGUUUGGAUGUUUUUUAAAUGAUACUGGAAAAAUAACGUAUGGGUUAUAUGUGUAGGAGUGGGCUUACUGGCCUUCCCCCUUCAUUUGGCUCUAAUUUCUGGUAACUCUUUAUAAUUCUGAUUAUUUUGGUAAGCGAACCACCAUGGCAGAUGCAGUUUGAAAUCUGGGGCAUGCAGUGGUUCCCCAAGGGAAGAGGGCUGCCCCCUGCCCCCUGAAGGAGAGAAGCAUCGGUGUGCACAGCCAGCAGAGCUUGGGAUGCACCGCCACUGCUUGCUUCUGCUCCACACACCAUCUCCCCAGCAAAAGGCUGGCAAGAAGAGCUUGGGCCUUCGCAGAGGCGUUUGGAAUCCUGCUCACUGAGCUCACCCUCCUGCCUGCACUGAGGUCACUUUGAACAGAAUCAUGGCAGAGGAACAUCCUUAGAGCCUAACAGUAAUCUCAGUAGUUCACUUGAUAAAUUUGCCACCACAGGUUCAGAAACUUUGGGGGGAAACUGGGACCAGUCUGGACUGUGGCUUAAGCUAUUCAGUUGCUGUAGCUGAAUACCCAGGCACCUUCAAACAGGAAAACAUUUCCCAAGGGUAUUUAGGCUGGUGGCCCAUUCUGUUCACUUUUGAAGCUGGGGGUGAGGGUGGGGGUGGGGCUUCUACUUUGGCCGGAACAUGGAAAACGGGGCUCUUAACACCACCUUCCCCUUUUGUCUAGGGUUUCUUCCUUAGGCCUUCCUGGCCUUUGGCCCCUUGAAAAGAAUAAUUACAUGGUAGGGCAGCCCUCUCCAGCCAUACUGAUGCAUGUGCCAUGUGUACACAAGCAUCUCCCCCUUCCAGCACCUCGAUUUUAGGGUAGCUCCAUCUCUGGACUCACAUACAAAAAUACGCACAGUUUGGCGGGCCCUCUCAGUGUCUAACCCAUGGGUAGUAGGGCAAUCUGGAAGGCCCGCUUCCACAUUUAUGAGCUAGGGAAGAACCAGGUUUGGCUGGCUGCCAUUACAGACAGUGAUGAGGUUUCCAGGGUGUUUAUUCCUAUUAAAAAGUGGAACUUCCCUCACAUACUCAGCCUUGGGUACAGCUGGAUAAAGCUGGUAGGGACUGCCUUGGAUAUUAUGUGGCACUUUCCUGGAAGCAGUCGUCCUUUAGCAUUUAAAGCCUGUUCAGGCCAGAUCUUCUGUGCCGCCAGCGACCAUCAGCUUCCACCCACCCAUCUGUUCUAGCACUUCCUGACAGCCCCUCUUCCUGAGGGGUCCACUUGGACAGGGAGCCACUGAUCACACUGCUGGCCGGGCCAUGCACUGCAUAGGGUUUGCUCCCAGUAGCCACCCUUGUUCUUCACACAGGCUUUUUUAAUGGUGAGGGAGAAGGUAUAAUUUGGGAUUCCACAGUGCCUUGCAUACAGUAGGCGCCCAAUACCCAUUUGUUGAAGCAAAUCAAGUUCCUUGUUCCCACAGUAACCAAGGCAUCUUCCUCCUCUGAAGGGCUUGGCGGUUGUGGCUAAAAACUAAGCAUCAUUAUUUGCUCGAAACCAUAUUUACAAUUUGUAUGAAUUUCGGUAUAUUGCCAAGAUGGGAUCUUUUUCCUAUUGUAUUUUCUGUAAAUAUUUCUGCCACUGACUUGUAAAGUAAAGGAGAUGUAAAUA
rnacentral:lncRNA from 1 species